UCUAGCAAAAAGGAUUUUGAAGAAAAUAGUGGACUUGAGCUAGCAUCAAUCCACAAGUUUCUUCUCAGUAUGAUGAAGGUCAUGAUGACUGGGAAAKGAUCCUGAAGACUGAAAAAAGGCAAACAUCAAACCUACUUCCAGGAAAGGCAGGAACUGAGAUUGAGUUAAGAAAUUACAGGCUUCUCAGUCUCACUUCAGUGUCUAGAGUAGUCAGACUUUGGAAAAAGUUGUUUGGAAAAAGUGUGGAAUCACCAGCUUUGAAGAUGUUCAAAGCUACAGGACAAGGCUUCAAAAAUGGACCUUUUUGGAGUAAGGAGUGGAUGGUCUCUAAAUGUCAACUUUUCAAUUUAGACUGUGCAAUGUUUCUGCAGUUUAACUGUCAUUCCUCUUGUGCUCUGUUUAGUCUCAAUUUCUGAACAAUGCCCAUUGUGUGUGUUUAAUCAUGUUCUCCUAUCCUGGCUCUGGAUCUUAUUAAAACGAACUCUAGCU